AUCCAACUGACGAGUCCAAAAUAAGACAUGACAUGCGUCCUGGAU
rnacentral:hammerhead_ribozyme from 1 species